AUUGAACGCUGGCGGCAGGCCUAACACAUGCAAGUCGAGCGAGCGGCGGACGGGUGAGUAAUGUAUGGGAAUCUGCCCGAUGGAGGGGGAUAACUACUGGAAACGGUAGCUAAUACCGCAUACUAUCAGAUGAGCCCAUAUGGGAUUAGCUAGUAGGUGGGGUAACGGCUCACCUAGGCGACGAUCUCUAGCUGGUCUGAGAGGAUGAUCAGCCACACUGGGACGGAGACACGGCCCAGACGCCUACGGGAGGCAGCAGUGGGGAAUAUUGCACAAUGGGCGCAAGCCUGAUGCAGCCAUGCCGCGUGUAUGAAGAAGGCCUUAGGGUUGUAAAGUACUUUCAGCGGGGAGGCGUUACCCGCAGAAGAAGCACCGGCUAACUCCGUGCCAGCAGCCGCGGUAAUUC
rnacentral:rRNA from 1 species